AAAGCAGGGGACCUUCGGGCCUUGCGCUAUCACAUGAGCCUAGGUCGGAUUACCUAGUUGGUGGGGUAAUGGCUCACCAAGGCGACCAUCCGUAACUGGUCUGAUAGGAUGAUCAAUCACACUGGAACUGACACUGGGUCCAAACUCCUACGGGAGGCACCAGUGGGGAAUAUUGGACAAUGGGCGAAAGCCUGAUCCAGCCUUGCCGCGUGUGUGAAGAAGGUCUUCAGAUUGGAUAGCACUUUAAAUUGGGAGGAAGGGCAGUAAGAUAAUACCUUGCUGUUUUGACUUUACCGACAGAAUAACCACCGGCUAACUCUGUGCCAGCAUCCGCGGUAAUACAGAGGGUGCAAGCGU
rnacentral:rRNA from 1 species